AACUGUGAGACUGCGGACGGCUCAGUAAAUCAGUUAUAAUCUAUUUGAUUGUACAGCCCAAUGGAUAACCGUGGGAAAUCACCUGCUAUGACAUGCGGUAAAAUUGGGCGGUUGGCAACACCCGUCCAAAGCAUUUAUUGGAACAAAACCAACGGCUGCUGUGUUGAGCUAAAACCCUACAGUGUGCGAGGUGAAUCUAGAUAACUGAGCUGAUCGCAUGGCCUUGUGCCGGCGACGUUUCAAUUGAAUUUCUGCCCUAUCAACUUGUUGGUAAGGUAGUGGCUUACCAAGGUUGCAACGGGUAACGGGGAAUCAGGGUUCGAUUCCGGAGAGGGAGCCUGAGAAACGGCUACCACAUCCACGGGUGGCAGCAGGCGCGCAAAUUACCCAAUCCAUAUAAUGGGAGGUGGUGACGAGGAAUACCAGAUGGCGUCCAUUUGGAUCGCCAUACUGGAAUGGAUCAAAUCUAGGAAAUUCGAUGAGUAACAACUGGAGGGCAAGUCUGGUGCCAGCAGCCGCGGUAAUUCCAGCUCCAGUAGUGUAUUUUAAAGUUGCUGCGUUUAAAACGCUCGUAGUUGGAUUACGCAGCAUGUGGCGGUCGAUUGGCGUGUUGGUACGAUAAAACCGCCCGAUGGUUGGACGACUUCGGUUGAUCCAGGUUCGGACUCCCGUUGGGUGGUGUGCCGCGCGUCGAUUAACAGCCGCCACAUGCUACUUGUACGUGAGGAUGGUGGUUGACCUUUAGUGCGUUGACUAUUCGUGUCUCACGAGGUGUGCCUUGAACAAAUCAGAGUGCUCAAAGCAGGCGAUAGCUUGAAUGUUAAUAGCAUGGAACGAACAGUCGUGUAUUAUGGUACCUCGUGUUGCACGGCAUGUGGACUUAUGUCUGCGUGUUUGUGUGGCUGAGUGUACAGCACCAACCGCCAGCGACGGAUGUUGGUUUCCGUGUUGGGGUGAUGAUUAAGAGGAGCGGUUGGGGGCAUUGGUAUUUGGCCGCGAGAGGUGAAAUUCUUGGACCGGCCAAGGACUAACAAAUGCGAAGGCAUCUGCCAAGACCGUUUCCAUUAAUCAAGAACGAAAGUGAGAGGUUCGAAGACGAUCAGAUACCGUCCUAGUUCUCACUGUAAACUAUGCCGACCCGGGAUCAGUUUUGAGCUCAUAAUACGCUCGUGGUUGGUCCCCCUGGGAAACCUCAAGUCUUUCAGUUACUGGGGGAGUAUGGGUCGCAAGGCUGAAACUUAAAGGAAUUGACGGAAGCGCACCACCAGGGGUGGAGCCUGCGGCCUAAUUUGACUCAACAACGGGAAAACUCACCAGGUCCGGACAUCGAUAGGAUAGACAGACUGAUAGAUCUUUCUUGAUACGUUGGUUGGUGGUGCAUGGCCGUUCUUAGUUCGUGGAGUGAUCUGUCAGG
rnacentral:rRNA from 1 species